rnacentral:rRNA from 1 species
AUGGACAUCGGUUUGUUGAUGGAUUCAAAUCUCGUCAUUUUCUUGAUGAAACAGAUUGUAUCGGCUACGGAGAGGAGGGAUUCAAAAAAUAUGGAUGACUGUGGUCAGUCAGUGGUCCUUCCGUGGAAGGACACAUCGGGAGAUGGACUUGGACGGCUCCAAGAACUAGAAGAAAAUUUAGCACCACUACUUGCACAGAGAAAAGAAAACAGCCACAUUGAGCGCCUAACAUUUCCGGCAUCACCAGUCAAAAGAUUGAGAGGGGAAGCUGUGAGUAACUGCAACAAAGAGCAUAACCUAGGUACCUGCAAUAGCAAGCAUUCUCAUCAGUGGAGCCAAUUUGGCUACUCGUCACAGACGACGUCGUGGCGGCCCUCGCGGCCAAGCACACGGGCGGUGGUGGAGAAGCUUGAGGAGACAGGCUGUCCGUGGAAGCGCUCACGCCGCGCUGCGCCGCCCCGCCGUGACGCCGCCCGACGAGCUCGCCUGCGGCGAGCGCCACGUACACCAGGCACUGCUCCGGUGCAUGCAGGCCCUGCUCGCGGCGCACUCCCUCCGUUUGGACCUGGUGAAUCUUCAGGUAGCCACGGUAGCCAUCUUCCUCCUGGUGACCAUGGCCGCGCCGGCCCGGGCUGUGACGUUCGACGCGUGGGACACCACCGGCGGCCAGCGCUUCGACCAGGCCGUCGGCCUCGCGACGUCGUCACCCUCGUCGUGGAGGAGUUCAACGGCCUCGCCUACACCAGCGACAACGGCAUCCACCUCAGCACCAGCUACGUCGGCGGCUACACCUCCGGCGACGUCAAGAAGGAGGUGACCGGCGUGCUGUACCACGAGGCGACGCACGUGUGGCAGUGGAACGGGCAGGGCGCGGCGAACGGCGGGCUCAUCGAGGGGAUCGCCGACUACAUGCGGCUCAAGGCCGGGCUCGUGCCUGGGCACUGGAGGCCGCGGGGGAGCGGCAACCGGUGGGGGCAGCUGAGGGGAGGAGCAAGAACGGCAGAGAGACGCUGGCAGGCGGGCCAGCGCCUGCAAACGGCGAGAUUAAGCCCCCCAGGUGCCCCCCAGCUUCCUGGGAUUGCCUUGGGGACGCCGGCGUCGUUUUUGGUCGAAUCCGGCGAAAACUAA